rnacentral:rRNA from 1 species
UACGAAGGGGGCUAGCGUUGCUCGGAAUCACUGGGCGUAAAGGGUGCGUAGGCGGGUCUUUAAGUCCGGUGUGAAAUCCUGGAGCUCAACUCCAGAACUGCCUUUGAUACUGAGGAUCUUGAGUUCGGGAGAGGUGAGUGGAACUGCGAGUGUAGAGGUGAAAUUCGUAGAUAUUCGCAAGAACACCAGUGGCGAAGGCGGCUCACUGGCCCGAUACUGACGCUGAGGCACGAAAGCGUGGGGAGCAAACAGG